rnacentral:miRNA from 1 species
CGCCGGGAGCUUCAGCAGGAACAUCUGGGUGGAGGCAGAGUUGUUCUGCUGUAGCUGCAGCCCUG